UAGUCCACUGUGGUCUAAGGC
rnacentral:miRNA from 1 species